rnacentral:rRNA from 1 species
GAUGAACGCUGGCGGCGUGCCUAAUACAUGCAAGUCGAGCGAACGGACGAGAAGCUUGCUUCUCUGAUGUUAGCGGCGGACGGGUGAGUAACACGUGGAUAACCUACCUAUAAGACUGGGAUAACUUCGGGAAACCGGAGCUAAUACCGGAUAAUAUUUUGAACCGCAUGGUUCAAAAGUGAAAGACGGUCUUGCUGUCACUUAUAGAUGGAUCCGCGCUGCAUGAGCUAGUUGGUAAGGUAACGGCUUACCAAGGCAACGAUGCAUAGCCGACCUGAGAGGGUGAUCGGCCACACUGAAACUGAGACACGGUCCAGACUCCUACGGGAGGCAGCAGUAGGGAAUCUGCCGCAAUGGGCGAAAGCCUGACGGAGCAGCGCCGCGUGAGUGAUGAAGGUCUUCGGAUCGUAAAACUCUGUUAUGAGGGAAGAACAUAUGUGUAAGUAACUGUGCACAUCUUGACGGUACCUAAUCAGAAGGCCACGGCUAACUACGU